CGAGUAGGCGGUUUUACAAGUCAGAUGUGAAAUGCAUGGGCUCAACCCAUGAACUGCAUUUGAAACUGUAAGACUUGAGUGCGGUAAAGGAAAGUGGAAUUCCCAGUGUAGCGGUGAAAUGCGUAGAUAUUGGGAGGAACACCAGUGGCGAAGGCGACUUCUGGGCCGUAACUGACGCUGAGGCGCGAAAGCGUGGGAGCAAACA
rnacentral:rRNA from 1 species